UUCAAUGCAAUUACCCACCUCAAACUUAACGGAGAAUUUAAAAUCGCUAUAAAAAGUCCUUGCAUCCUCUUCCAUUCUGUUUCUUUGGGUCUAUCCACGGAGGACAAACCCACGCGACCACUACGGAGUAAUGACAGCAGCUUUUCUGCUCUGAAAGAUUUAUUUAGGGUUUCUCUCUCUCUCUUGUGUUACUGUACGUAAGAAACUAUCUCCCUAGCACCAUGUGUUCUCUGCCGUGGGUGAUCUUAAAAUACAACGCUGAUCUGUCACUACAUUUUAAAAUAGAUUCAACUCUCGGGGAGGAUGAGAAAGUGUUGUGAUUUCAAGGAAGUGGAGUCCUUAAGGUCCCUGAAAGAUUUCACAGCCUUGGAAACCUCACACACGGAGGAGACUCACAGCACUACAUAUCCAUUCAUCCUCUUCAAGGCGUGGGUGGCCUCAUAGAUUCUGCGGCUGAUUUCAGACUCCUCUUGCCGAAGCUGCAAGGGACCAUGAGUGGAUUCAUCGUCCCAGAUUGGCCUAUGAAAAGUUCCAGUGUUCUUAAAAAAG